AUUGAACGCUGGCGGAAUGCUUUACACAUGCAAGUCGAACGAUGAACCUUAGCUUGCUAGGGGGAUUAGUGGCGGACGGGUGAGUAAUAUAUCGGAACGUAUCCAUUAAUGGGGGAUAACUAAGCGAAAGCUUGGCUAAUACCGCAUACGCCCUGAGGGGGAAAGCUGGGGAUCUUAGGACCUGGCGUUAAUGGAGCGGCCGAUACCUGAUUAGCUAGUUGGUAGGGUAAAGGCCUACCAAGGCAACGAUCAGUAGCUGGUCUGAGAGGACGACCAGCCACACUGGGACUGAGACACGGCCCAGACUCCUACGGGAGGCAGCAGUGGGGAAUUUUGGACAAUGGGGGAAACCCUGAUCCAGCCAUUCCGCGUGAGUGAAGAAGGCCUUCGGGUUGUAAAGCUCUUUCGCAAGGGAAGAAAAGAUAUAAGUUAAUAGCUUAUGUUGAUGACGGUAC
rnacentral:rRNA from 1 species